rnacentral:rRNA from 1 species
AGCAGCCGCGGUAAUUCCAGCUCCAAUAGCGUAUAUUAAAGUUGUUGCAGUUAAAAAGCUCGUAGUUGAAUUUCGGGGUCAGUAGGUCGGUCAUGCCACUGGUAUGUACUGGUCUCACUGAUUCCUCCUUCCUGAUGAACUGUAAUGCCAUUAAUUUGGUGUUGCAGGGAAUCUGGACUAGUUACUUUGAAAAAAUUAGAGUGUUUAAAGCAGGCUAACGCCUGAAUACAUUAGCAUGGAAUAAUGAAAUAGGACGUUCGAUCCUAUUUUGUUGGUUUCUAGGAUUGACGUAAUGAUUAAUAGGGAUAGUUGGGGGCAUUAGUAUUCAAUUGUCAGAGGUGAAAUUCUUGGAUUUAUUGGAGACUAACUACUGCGAAAGCAUUUGCCAAGGAUGUUUUCAUUAAUCAAGAACGAAAGUUAAGGGGAUCGAAGACGAUCAGAUACCGUCGUAGUCUUAACCAUAAACUAUGCCGACUAGGGAUCGGAUGAUGUUAAUUUUUAAUGACUCAUUC